UGCGCGUCUCCUCCCCCGCCCCCCUCCCCGCAGUCCACAGCCACUCUGUCUCGCGUGGGGAUCCCCCUCCCCGGCGCGGCCGGUGCCCCCCGUCCUUGUAGCCGUCGUUCCGUCCCUGUCCAAAAGCACUGCCAUCCCUCCCCGCGAGUCCCCGCCGGUUUAAGAGCGGAGAAAUCCUUUCCAUCCCGUUAAACCGCCGACCGGGCUGAGCGAAGUCCCCCCCGGGAGACCUGACCCGGCCCUAUCGCAUCGCCUGCUCGGGCAGGAGGGAGAAGCCCCGGUAGCUCGGUGCGGCAGUCCUCGAGUGAGCUGCUGGGAUUUGGCGUGGGUGUUACUCCGGUAAAACCCCCGAGGUAGGGAGGAUGCUGCGGGGGUGCCGGCUUGUUCCCCGCCGCCACAUCUCCAAACUUCGGGGAAACCCCUUUCGGUGUUACCCCGUGUGUGUCCCCCCCCUCUCUCCCUCUUUCUGCCGGGACUGGCCUCUUAUCCCGGCGAGGGAAAUAAAGACCUCUCAGGCAAAUCCUCACUGCCACUGCAGACUGCUUCUGGUAUGAACUCAGCCUCCUCUGCUGUACUGCACAAUCACAUGGACUGGCACCUCUCACAUCUCCUUUGCAAAGGCUGAACUGAUGGUGCAAAGCAUGAAGCAGGGCUAAGUCAGGCUCCAUGAAUUUUUCUCCUCCAUGCAAGCCCAGUCUGAUGCUGUCCAUACCCCAGCCUUUGCUCUAUACCCAUCAGCAGGUGAGAACCAGGCCUGGUACCACCUGCUCUGUACUCACUCUGCACUCAGCCAACGAACUGCCAGGUUUUGAGGUGGCCUUCAGUGCCUGCCCCUCUCUCACCCAGGACUUGGACGUGGCACACGCCAAGGAGCUGGAAGAAGGGGCAGCACUGUGUCCAUCGGAGCCUUCGUGCCCUCCUCUUCUUCCUCCCAACUUGUCUUCAUCCGCUGGCCACUGUGGCAUGCACCAACUCUACCUUCUGCCAGCAAGUGGAAAGUUGAGCUUUCAAACAAAUAUUGCCUGGCCCAUUCUUGUUUAAUAAAUGGGUUGUUCAGUUUCA